rnacentral:rRNA from 1 species
UACAGAGGGUGCGCGCGUUGUCCGGAAUCACUGGGCGUAAAGGGCGCGUAGGUGGCUAGGUAAGCGUGUGGUGAAAGUCCGGGGCUCACCCCCGGAUCUGCCGUGCGAACUGCCAGGCUUGAGCAAUGUAGAGGCAGGUGGAAUUUCGGGUGUAGCGGUGGAAUGCGUAGAGAUCCGAAAGAACAGCAGUGGCGAAGGCGGCCUGCUGGGCAUUUGCUGACACUGAGGCGCGACAGCGUGGGGAGCAAACAGG